rnacentral:misc_RNA from 1 species
AUUCCGUAGGUGAACCUGCGGAAGGAUCAUUCAUAAUAAAGUGUUUUAUGGCACUUUUUAAAAAUCCAUAUCCACCUUGUGUGCAAUGUUAGAUCUCGUCAAUCUUGGCGAGAUUUUUAUACAUCAACUCAUUCUUUAACUAAUUUGUCUGAAAAAUAUUAUGAAUACUUAAUUCAAAUACAACUUUCAACAACGGAUCUCUUGGCUCUC